UGGGGAAUAUUGGCACAAUGGGCGAAAGGCCUGAAUGCAGCAACGCCGCAGUGAGUGAUGAAGGCCUUCGGGUUGUGAAAUGCAUCUGUCUUUUGGGACGAUAAUGACGGUACCAAAGGAGGAAGCCACGGCUAACUACGUGCCAGCAGCCGCGGUAAUACGUAGGUGGCAAGCGUUGUCCGGAUUUACUGGGCGUAAAGGAUGCGUAGGCGGAUUUUUAAGUGAGAUGUGAAAACCCUAAGCUUAACUUGGGGACUGCAUUUCAUACUGGAAAUCUAGAGUGCGGGAGAGGAGAAUGGAAUUCCUAGUGUAGCGGUGAAAUGCGUAGAGAUUAGGAAGAACACCAGUGGCGAAGGCGAUUCUCUGGACCGUAACUGACGCUGAGGCAUGAAAGCGUGGGUAGCAAACAGGAUUAGAUACCCUGGUAGUCCACGCCGUAAACGAUGAGUACUAGGUGUAGGAGGUAUCGACCCCUUCUGUGCCGCAGUUAACACAAUAAGUACUCCGCCUGGGAAGUACGAUCGCAAGAUUAAAACUCAAAGGAAUUGACGGGGUCAUAGCUG
rnacentral:rRNA from 1 species